rnacentral:misc_RNA from 1 species
GACCGCGCACCCGUCAUCCAGCCUGCCGGCGGCGGCACCGUUCGUCGCUCGGCCAAGUCCUCGAUAACCYCCUCUUCUCGGAGUGGGGGCUCGGGGUAAAAGAACCCACGACGCCUAAGGCGUCAAGGAACACUGUGCCUAGCCCGGGGACGCGGACGGCUUGCUGGCCGCCCCCCGUGCUGCAAUGCUAUUUAAUCCACACGACUCUCGGCAACGGAUAUCUCGGCUCUCGCAUCGAUGAARAACGUAGCGAAAUGCGAUACCUGGUGUGAAUUGCARAAUCCCGCGAACCAUCGAGUCUUUGAACGCAAGUUGCGCCCGAGGCCAUUCGGCCGAGGGCACGCCUGCCUGGGCGUCACGCAAAACACGCUCCCACCCCCUCAUCUGGGAGCGGGACGCGGCAUGUGGCCCCCCGUCGCGCAAGGGGCGGUGGGCCGAARAUAUGGCUGCCGGCGUAUCGUGCUGGACACAGCGUGUGGUGGGCGACCUCGCUUUACUUCCGCAGUGCAUCCGGCACGUAGCCGACGUGAUGGCCUCGAAGGACCCUAUGAACGGUGCGCACGACGCUCCGACC